GUUUUGUGUUACAACCUAUUCAUAUAUAGUUUUUUAUUAGAAUCACUUUUGUGAAAAGCAAUUUCUUUUGACUCUUUUUUCUUUUUUAAAUCUUUUAUUUUUUCCACCACUAUAAACUGUUAGAUAUAACAGAUUAUUACGUUCUAUAGUUUAAUUCUUUAUUUAAUGUCAAUUUGAGUUUUGUUAAUUGUGUAAUACAAUUCACAAUAGUUGGAGCGGAUUUGAUUUUAUUCAAUCUGAUUUUGAGUUGUAUCCCACUCCAUUAUUUAAAUGGUAAAUUACAGAAGGACUUCAUGAGGUUUUCUAUAACAUGCACUUUGGUUCUUCCCGUUUCAAAAUUUGCAACUUCAUUCUUUUAGGUUUAUUUAUUUAUUUAUU
rnacentral:misc_RNA from 1 species